rnacentral:rRNA from 1 species
CUGGAGGUAUCAGAAGUGCGAAUGCUGACAUAAGUAACGAUAAAGCGGGUGAAAAGCCCGCUCGCCGGAAGACCAAGGGUUCCUGUCCAACGUUAAUCGGGGCAGGGUGAGUCGACCCCUAAGGCGAGGCCGAAAGGCGUAGUCGAUGGGAAACGGGUUAAUAUUCCCGUACUUGGUGUUACUGCGAAGGGGGGACGGAGAAGGCUAUGUUGGCCGGGCGACGGUUGUCCCGGUUUAAGCGUGUAGGUGUGUGUUCCAGGUAAAUCCGGUUCACUUUAACACUGAGGCGUGACGACGAGGCACUACGGUGCUGAAGCAACAAAUGCCCUGCUUCCAGGAAAAGCCUCUAAGCAUCAGGUAACACGAAAUCGUACCCCAAACCGACACAGGUGGUCAGGUAGAGAAUACCAAGGCGCUUGAGAGAACUCGGGUGAAGGAACUAGGCAAAAUGGUGCCGUAACUUCGGGAGAAGGCACGCUGACACGUAGGUGAAGUGAUUUACUCAUGGAGCUGAAGUCAGUCGAAGAUACCAGCUGGCUGCAACUGUUUAUUAAAAACACAGCACUGUGCAAACACGAAAGUGGACGUAUACGGUGUGACGCCUGCCCGGUGCCGGAAGGUUAAUUGAUGGGGUCAGCGCAAGCGAAGCUCCUGAUCGAAGCCCCGGUAAACGGCGGCCGUAACUAUAACGGUCCUAAGGUAGCGAAAUUCCUUGUCGGGUAAGUUCCGACCUGCACGAAUGGCGUAAUGAUGGCCAGGCUGUCUCCACCCGAGACUCAGUGAAAUUGAACUCGCUGUGAAGAUGCAGUGUACCCGCGGCAAGACGGAAAGACCCCGUGAACCUUUACUAUAGCUUGACACUGAACAUUGAGCCUUGAUGUGUAGGAUAGGUGGGAGGCUUUGAAGCGUGGACGCCAGUCUGCGUGGAGCCGACCUUGAAAUACCACCCUUUAAUGUUUGAUGUUCUAACGUGGACCCGUGAUCCGGGUUGCGGACAGUGUCUGGUGGGUAGUUUGACUGGGGCGGUCUCCUCCUAAAGAGUAACGGAGGAGCACGAAGGUUGGCUAAUCCUGGUCGGACAUCAGGAGGUUAGUGCAAUGGCAUAAGCCAGCUUGACUGCGAGCGUGACGGCGCGAGCAGGUGCGAAAGCAGGUCAUAGUGAUCCGGUGGUUCUGAAUGGAAGGGCCAUCGCUCAACGGAUAAAAGGUACUCCGGGGAUAACAGGCUGAUACCGCCCAAGAGUUCAUAUCGACGGCGGUGUUUGGCACCUCGAUGUCGGCUCAUCACAUCCUGGGGCUGAAGUAGGUCCCAAGGGUAUGGCUGUUCGCCAUUUAAAGUGGUACGCGAGCUGGGUUUAGAACGUCGUGAGACAGUUCGGUCCCUAUCUGCCGUGGGCGCUGGAGAACUGAGGGGGGCUGCUCCUAGUACGAGAGGACCGGAGUGGACGCAUCACUGGUGUUCGGGUUGUCAUGCCAAUGGCACUGCCCGGUAGCUAAAUGCGGAAGAGAUAAGUGCUGAAAGCAUCUAAGCACGAAACUUGCCCCGAG